GACAAUGAAUGUGCCACUUCCAUUGCUUGCAGAAGAGGCAGGCGGUCAUACAGUUGCUACUUGCUAAUGCCAACAACUGUGAAAGUUACAGUAUUAUGGUUGGUGAAUCAGUCCCUGACCAGAGCAGCACGGUGGAGCUAUUCCGUCCUGGUCCAUCAUUUUGAUUAGUGUUCAUUAAGUGUAUACUGUAUGUAUAAAGUUUUCUUGUGUGUUGCCAAUUUUAGGUGUGUUUUUGCCUUAUGAGUGUUUCCUAACAAAUUGUCUAAAUGCCAGAAACAGUGCGCAGUGUUUUGCAAGAAGUGUGUUGCAGAAUUGCAAACAAAGUGCAAAGCAGAAAAUGAGUUUGUACUUUUGGUGCCUUUGUUCAAGACAUGGUUACAAAAGUUAAGGUUUUGAUGCUUUGGUCUAAGCAUUCACUUUCAGUGUGCAAGUGGUCGGUAGAAACUGUAAAUAUGGAAAAAGCUGAAACAGUUUAGCCUCCAGUGUGGUUGAUUUAACCUAAAACAUAUUGAUAUUUUAAAAAUGAUUCUAUAACCUGUAUGUUAAGAUUAAUAUAUGAUGCUGGCUGUGGUUUUACUGAGAACAAGGUCUUUAGAAUGACACGUAAGCAUGUGAAAGUCUGUAGUCAGACACUGAAGUAUCUUUAUGGACAGUCUCAGUAUUCAGCUUCAUCAUGGCUGGACGCCUGUUGUUUGUCUUCCUCAUGUAUUCCUUUCACAAGAUUCAAGCUCAAGAUCUUCUUCCACCUAAACUGACAGUGAAUCCACCGGUGAUCACAGAGACAGACUCAGUCACAUUGAACUGUCAGACUCCACCAUCUGUUUCUGUGUCUCAGUGUUAUUUCUACACUGUUAGUGGAGGAAGUGUCAGAAGCUUCUCUUGUCUACAGACACUGACAGGAACUGAACUGCUGAAGAUGUCACAUCAGAGUUCACCUGCUGAGGUUGAAGUGAAAUGUUAUUACACUGUAAAGAUUGGAGAGUUAAAGUCUCAAUCUCCAAACAGUAACAUAUCCACAGUCUUCAUACACACUCUUCUUCCACCUGUACUGACAGCGACUCCACUGUUGAUCACAGAGACAGACUCAGUCACAUUGAACUGUCAGACUCCACCGUCUGUUUCUGUGUCUCAGUGUUAUUUCUACACUGUUAGUGGAGGAACUGUCAGAGUCUUCUCUUGUAUAAAGACACUUACAGGAACUGAACUGCUGAAGAUGUCACAUCAGAGUUCACCUGCUGAGGUUGAAGUGAAAUGUUAUUACAUUGUAAAGGUUGGAGAGUUAAGGUCUCAAUCUCCAAACAGCAAAACAUCCUCCAUCACCAUACACAAUAUUGUGGAAAAAGUCAUCCAUGACCCAGACAAUGCCAACAUUAACUGUGACCAAAGAUAUUGUGGAAAAAGAGUCAAGCAUGACCCAGACAAUGCCGACAUUUACUGUGACCAAAGGUUGGACUGUUAA
rnacentral:lncRNA from 15 species